GAUGAACGCUGACAGAAUGCUUAACACAUGCAAGUCGAUGGGGAAGUGGUGCUUGCACCAUGGUAACCAUGGCGGACGGGUGAGUAACGCGUAAGGAACUUGCCUGCGGGACUGGGAUAACAGCAGGAAACUGCUGAUAAUACCGGAUAAGGUCAUUAAGCUGCAUAGCUUAGUGAUGAAAGGAGACGCCUCGGAGAGCCUUGCGUCCUAUUAGCUAGUUGGAGGGGUAACGGCCCACCAAGGCGAAGAUAGGUAGCCGGCCUGAGAGGGUGGACGGCCACAAGGGGACUGAGAUACGGCCCUUACUCCUACGGGAGGCAGCAGUGGGGAAUAUUGGACAAUGGGGGCAACCCUGAUCCAGCAAUUCUGUGUGCACGAAGACGGUUUUCGGAUUGUAAAGUGCUUUCAGCAGGGAAGAAGGAAGUGACGGUACCUGCAGAAGAAGCGACGGCUAAAUACGUG
rnacentral:rRNA from 1 species